rnacentral:tRNA from 1 species
GAGGGUUUAGCUCAGUGGUAGAAUGAGUGCUUGGCAGGCAUGGGGUCCUGGGUUCAAUCCCCAGCACCUCUA